rnacentral:rRNA from 1 species
AGAGUUUGAUCAUGGCUCAGGAUGAACGCUGGCGGCGUGCCUAACACAUGCAAGUCGAACGUGAGAAGAUAGCAAUAUCUUUGAAAGUGGCGAACGGGUGAGUAACACGUGGGUAACCUGCCGCGCAGAGGGGGAUAACAACUGGAAACGGUCGCUAAUACCGCAUGGGACUCUUUAAACGGGAGUUUAGAGAGUUAAAGCCUUGGCGCUGCGCGAGGGGUCUGCGUCCGAUUAGUUAGUUGGUGAGGUAAUGGCUCACCAAGGCGAUGAUCGGUAGCUGGUCUGAGAGGAUGAUCAGUCACACGGGAACUGAGACACGGUCCCGACUCCUACGGGGGGCAGCAGUGAGGAAUAUUGCACAAUGGUCGCAAGUCUGAUGCAGCAACGCCGCGUGGAGGAUGAAGGUCUUCGGAUUGUAAACUCCUUUUCCCAGGGAAGAGAAUGGACGGUACCUGGGGAAUAAGUCACGGCUAACUACGUGCCAGCAGCCGCGGUAAUACGUAGGUGGCAAGCGUUAUCCGGAAUUACUGGGCGUAAAGCGCACGCAGGCGGUUUCUUAAGUUUGACGUGAAAGCUCCUGGCUUAACUGGGAGAGGUCGUUGAAGACUGGGAAGCUUGAGGCAAUGAGAGGGAUGUAGAAUUCACGGUGUAGUGGUGGAAUGCGUAGAUAUCGUGAGGAAUACCAGUGGCGAAAGCGGCAUCCUGGCAUUAGCCUGACGCUCAUGUGCGAAAGCGUGGGGAGCGAACGGGAUUAGAUACCCCGGUAGUCCACGCUGUAAACGAUGAACACUAGGUGUAGGUGGUGUGAAAGCUAUCUGUGCCGAAGCUAACGCGUUAAGU